rnacentral:tRNA from 1 species
GCCUGUGUGGCUCAGUCGGUUGAGCAUCUGACUUCAACUCAGGUCAUGAUCUCGCGGUUCGUGGGUUUGAGCCCCGUGUCGGGCU